UGUACACGUAGGAAUGGCAAUUUCUCUAAAAAAUCGGGUUUGCGAGGUUGGCUCGGGGCAAAUGCUCAAAACCCGAAUUGAGGAUGGACCGAGACAGGGGAAUAAAAGCCUCGUCUGGGUAUAUAUAUAUAUAUAUAUAUAUAUAUGUAUAUAUAUAUAUUUAUAAUUUCAAUUAUGUAUGUAAAACAUUAUUUUCUUUUUUUCUUCCAAACCCUAACACUAACAGUCCUCAGGCCGCCGACUUUCUCCAGUUGUUCUGUUGCUGCCUGUUUUGGCAUUCAAUUUCUCCGAUCGCUUCUCAUCGCUCUGACUUUCUUCAAUCAUUCUAACUCUGAAAUUUGGUAGAUCUCAGAGCAUACUCACUUUCUUAGAUCGUUCUGAAAAUUAAGAGAAAUCUUCUUCUCCACCUGAGAGAGUUCAACAAGUUCAAGAAAUCUUCUUCUCUCUGCUCAGGCUUUCUAGAAAAAGAAAAGCUUCAUUCUCUGGUUUUUCCGUUCACAUUCUCCGAUUGUUUCGGUCAUCACUUCAAAUUUCUCUGAUCGAUCCUCCGAGGACUCCGACUUUGAAAAUUAAAGAAAUCUUGUUGUUCUUUGCGUUUGGCGUUCUGUUUCUACGACCGCUCCAACUCAAGAAAUUUUUUUGCAUAAAUUUUUCAAAAAAAAAUUAUAUGAAUUAUGAAAAAAAAAGGGGAAAAAAGCCCCGCCUCAUCCCAAAUUGGGAAAUCUUCACCUUGUCCCGCCUCUAAAAACAGUAGAAAAUCCACAAAAUUGGAUGAAAAUUUUCCCACAGCGACGGAUAUGGGAUUUUAAAAACCCACCCGCCCCGCUGCGCGUUGGCAUUCCUGGGUAUACGCAUCUUUUUUUUCUUUUUUUUUUGGGUAUAUAUAUCCGUCUUUAUAAAUAAUUUAUUAGAUUUUAUUUAUUUAGAUAUUCAGGAGACGUGCAAGACUUUUUGCACAGCCGUCAGCCCCAUUUUCCCUGUUUCCCUCGUACAACUGUGCUUGAGGACACUAGUCACGCAGUGGAAGUCCAUGUAGAAAUGUAGCCUUUCUUCUAAGUUCUAAUCUAAUCUAACUAAUGCACCUCCAUUUUCGUUACUCAUAUUUCCUCCCUAUUCUCUGAUUUUAAGUGUGGUCGGAAAUCCACACACGCUGAAGGUGCUCAUCAAGGAUUAGAGCUACCUUUUCCAUACAAGAUUUGAGUUUAUUAUUUAUUUUUCUGUAUCAUAUGAUGUAGGAAUCCUGAAUGUACAACAAAUUUGGUCC